AAGAUCUCUUUCCUCCCCAGUGUGUCUGACAGAUCUCUUUCCUCCCCAGUGUGUCUGAAAGAUCUCUUUCCUCCCCAGUGUGUCUGAAAGAUCUCUUUCCUCCCCAGUGUGUCUGACAGAUCCCAAUGUGACAGCUCCACUCAACUCCAGCUGGGACGGCUUCACCAGGACCCUGGGAACCCAGGUGAAUAUAUCAUGUCCGGCCGGGCAGGUGUUUCCAGACCUGAACACGUCAGUAAGCAUCUCGUGUGGUGAGAACGGCACUUGGUCCACUCCACCCCCGGGCUACCUGGUCUGUAGGACAGUUGCGGUGACUGCGCCUCCAGCUGCUCCACUGGGCGCUGUUAUGACUGGGGCACCGCCCUACUGGGUGGGCACUAGUCUGAACUACACGUGUAUCCCUCCCCAGUCUACGCUGACAGGGGCCACUUAUGCUACUGUCACUUACCUGCAGGGAGGCUGGACUACUCUCGACCCUACCUUCACCUGCCAUAAUGUGUGUCUGAGUUCUCCACCAUCACCACCAGCAGGAGUUAUUGCCAACCUAAGCAACGAUAUAGCAGAGUAUGGCAUGAUGGUCACCUACACCUGCCUCGCCACCAAUCACACCUUCACCACCACAUCCACCUGCAACAACGCCACCUGGACACCUGCCACCAUCCCCAACUGUAUUGGUGAGAGACUUACUCUUUCACUCACAUAUUAACACACACACACACACACACACACA